rnacentral:lncRNA from 1 species
GCACUGUCCCAGAGCCACCCUUCAGGAAUCCAGGCCCACACCCAGCUCCAGCUGCCCGAGUGGCUCAGUCGCCCAGCGGCCUCUCUGCUGACUGAGGUGAGGUGUAGCCCGGCCAGAGGAAGCAGCUGCCUAGCCUGAGGAAGCUGCUGCAGUUCGAGCCUACCCGGCGCCUGGGCAUGGGAGAAGGUGGUGUCAGCAAACUCAAGUCCCAUCCCUUUUUCAGUACCAUCCAAUGGAGCAAGCUGGUGGGGUAAGAGGGCAGAGCGGGUGACGGAAGCAGCUGGCCUGGUCUGGAUCGCCUCUCCUCCUUGCCUGACACCCAACCCAGGGCUGGCCCUCUAUCAGCGGGCUUUGGGCGAGGAAUGGAGGGCACUGUCUGUCCUGCUGGGCUCCCACUGGGGCCUCAGAAUUAUGGCCACCACCCAGGAAGGGCCAGCUCCUGGAAAAGCUGGAGGUGGGGGCAGUCAAGGCUUGCCCUGCUAAGCAGCUUGAACCAUCUACCCAUCAGUCAACAGACCCGUUGAGCAUGUGGACUCACCAUGUUAAAGGUUGCCUUCUGUGGCACUGGCGCUGAGCUGUUGACCACCUGCUGCACCCUACUGUGAGGUUCUGUGACUCACUCACUGCCAU